rnacentral:rRNA from 1 species
UACGGAGGGUGCGAGCGUUGUCCGGAUUUAUUGGGUUUAAAGGGUGCGUAGGUGGGUUAAUAAGUCAGUGGUGAAGUACGGUUGCUCAACAAUCGAGGUGCCAUUGAUACUGUUAAUCUUGAAACAAGUGGAGGUUGCCGGAAUGGAUGGUGUAGCGGUGAAAUGCAUAGAUAUCAUCCAGAACACCGAUUGCGAAGGCAGGUGACUACGUUUGAUUUGACACUGAGGCACGAAAGCAUGGGGAGCAAACAGG